CCUAUAUGUACUUUAUGUUCUUGACACAUAACAAACAUAACAAUCAAUGAUUUCAUUCUCUAUUGAUCCCACGAGUCUCAUUUUAUUACCAAACAAUUACGUCUCAGUGUCGAUCAAUAGUAUUUUCCACUUAACAAUAAAUGCUUUUCCACGGGUCAUUCAAUGCACAGAUGAGUGGAGUAAAACAUGUGUUAUGUUAUUAACACUGAUAAAAGAAAGAAAAAAUGAGAGGUCGUGUUCACCUUCUUCCAGAAAUUACUUAGAAAAGAAUGUUUGUUAAGCGACACCCCAACACACUGUUUAUUCAGUGGCUGUUAGUGUUACGUCUCUAACAUGCAGUAUUUGUACUGAGGAGAUAUGUUCCACUCUGGAUUAUCACAUGAAUAUUAAAGUAUAUAAAUAAAAAUUAGAA